UGAGAAGAAGAUUACUGUUACAGGUGUUAAAGAAAGCUGCUCUUCUCUCACACCGGACCCUGAGGCUGGAGGGAUAUCUGCAUGCAGACCUGGCCCAGCCCUGCACCUGGAGAAGGUCCCGCUAUACUUACUACUGUGUAUAGCAGAGAGCAUGCUCUUUUACUUAAGAAAAGUGGGGCUGUGGACUCAGAUUUAUCAUUGGUUUGAAAGAGCUAAAAUGUACUGCUCACUGUCACACUGGGUUAAAUAUUUACAUGCAUGACCUCAUUUAAGCCUCAAACACUCCAGGGAAUAGCUAUUAUUAUGUACUCCACUUUGCUGAGGCUCGAAGGGAUUGAAAAACUUUCCCAGGGAUCCUACACUGGACCUCAGGGAGGUCUCACUGCAAAGUCCUAAGCUUCCAAGGCCCACGUUGUCCCAGACCAGGGAUUCUACUUUUCAGGUUUGAAACCAAUACGGGACUGAGGGUUCAUUUUAUAAUGCUUGGAAACAACAGUGCUCGGCAACUUGAAAUAGGAUGUUCUUGGGAAGAAAGAGAAACAGAGUGCUGAUAAUACAUUUUAAUGUGUGAAGCUCAAUCACAAAGAGACCUCUGCCUGGACCUGCAGCAAAAGUGGGUGCAGAAGGCUGUGCUGCAAAAAAGACAGUUUUGAGGAGGAAAAGCAGCAGAAAUAAGAUGGAACUGUUGAAUCUAGUAACCUACAGAAGUAUUUCCUGUGCCUGUCUUUCAGGCAGACGCCCAUUACCUCAGGGAAAGCUCUGAAAGAACGCAGGAAGAUUUCUGCUCUUGAGGUGGGCAGCUAACCCAUACAAGGUGAAUGUGAGAUUGUCUGGAACUCUCUUCCCCACAGUUGUGACUGAAAUCAGAGGAAGGAACUAUUACAUGAUCAAGAAGAGGUGUUAUUAAGGAAGAAUUUUUUUUGAUAUACCAUUUGUUUUCUCCUUUCAUACACUAAUCCCCUGCUUUUAGCCCUUGUGUGAUAGGAUAAGCCCAUAGGGCAUUUUGAGGGUUUAGAGCUUAGACAAAAUAUUUGAAACAAGUGAAAUUUGAAAAGGGACUUUUUCUAGAGUAGUGGUUCCUCAC